GGUUGUUCUACGAAAAACUAAACAUUAUAAGGAGCGUAGGGAAACCAACAUAGGUGACUAUAAAACCUUGUACAGAUUUUCUGCAGAAAAUGUUACUUGGUUAGCAGAUUACUUUUUAAAUGAUUGUACUGAAACCAGGGGAGGUGCUUUGUCGCCAAAAAUGAAAAUGAAAAUUUUUUUGAGGUGUUUGGCCAAUUCCGGUUUUCAGUCAGGAAUAGCAGAAGAAUUAGGCGUUCAUCAGUCGACAGUAUCAAAAGCUUUAGAAGACUGGCAAAAUGUCAAUCACUUUCCGGGGGUCAUUGGGGUCAUUGAUUGUAUCCAUAUUAGAAUUGAAAAACCAGGUCGUCAUGGGGAUGAAUAUAUCAAUAGAAAAGGAUGGCCCAGUAUCAAUGUACAAGCGACUUGCAACGCCCAAGACGUCACCUUUAUUAGAAGACGUUUCUUAAUUAAAACAAACAAAAAGAGUUGA